rnacentral:tRNA from 1 species
GUCAACAUAGCUUAAUUAAAGCAUAACUCUGAAGAUGUUAAGAUGAACCUUAAAAAGUUCUGUAGACA